rnacentral:tRNA from 1 species
GGGGGCAUGGCUCAAGAGGGAGAGCACCUGCCUUGCAAGUGUGAAGCCCUGAAUUCAAUCUCCAGUGCCACCA